rnacentral:rRNA from 1 species
UGGGGAAUAUUGCACAAUGGGCGAAAGCCUGAUGCAGCAACGCCGCGUGAGUGAUGAAGGCCUUCGGGUUGUAAAGCUCUGUCUUCUGGGACGAUAAUGACGGUACCAGAGGAGGAAGCCACGGCUAACUACGUGCCAGCAGCCGCGGUAAUACGUAGGGGGCGAGCGUUGUCCGGAAUUACUGGGCGUAAAGGGUGCGUAGGCGGUUCUUUAAGUUGGAUGUGAAAUACCCGGGCUUAACCUGGGGGGUGCAUUCAAGACUGGGGAACUAGAGUUCAGGAGAGGGCAGCGGAAUUCCUAGUGUAGCGGUGAAAUGCGUAGAUAUUAGGAGGAACACCAGUGGCGAAGGCGGCUUUCUGGACUGACACUGACGCUGAGGCACGAAAGCGUGGGGAGCAAACA